UCCCAGCCAUUGUCUUCUGCACAAACCCCUGC
rnacentral:piRNA from 1 species